GUACCGUUGAAGAGUCCCAAACUAGGACGAAACAGCUGUCCAGUAC
rnacentral:hammerhead_ribozyme from 1 species